rnacentral:tRNA from 1 species
AACUUUAUAUUCAAUGAAUGAUACUAAAUUGCAAAUUUAGAGUAGUAAAUUUAAUUUACUAAAGUUU